rnacentral:tmRNA from 1 species
GGGGCUGAUUCUGGAUUCGACGGGAUUUGCGAAACCCAAGGUGCAUGCCGAGGGGCGGUUGGCCUCGUAAAAAGCCGCAAAAAAUAGUCGCAAACGACGAAAACUACGCUUUAGCAGCUUAAUAACCUGCUUAGAGCCCUCUCUCCCUAGCCUCCGCUCUUAGGACGGGGAUCAAGAGAGGUCAAACCCAAAAGAGAUCGCGUGGAAGCCCUGCCCGGGGUUGAAGCGUUAAAACUUAAUCAGGCUAGUUUGUUAGUGGCGUGUCCGUCCGCAGCUGGCAAGCGAAUGUAAAGACUGACUAAGCAUGUAGUACCGAGGACGUAGGAAUUUCGGACGCGGGUUCAACUCCCGCCAGCUCCACCA